CUUGAUGGAGCCGAACCAGAGGGGCCUGUCCUCGGAGCGGCCCUGCCCGUAGGUGGCGAGCAGGGCCUGGGCCUC
rnacentral:antisense_RNA from 1 species